UUCAAGGGUGGCAGAGCCUUCUCUUCCCCAGGGAAUCCACAUUCAGAGGCCAAAAGUUCAGAGACCAAGGGCCACUGCCCAAGUCACCAAAGGGACCAACAGAAACAUAGUCUGGCUCAUGGUCCAUCCCAGCAGCUCAGACUCUGACAGCUAAGCCAACCUGGUCUUCCUAAGCUGGGGACCAUGUUCACCAUGGCACGACUGUGGUCUUUCUUAUAGUUCCCUACAGCAGAAGCAGAGGAGAAUCCAGGAAAGAUCCUGUAAGUGCUGGAUGGGGAUACGAAAUCUGCUGGAGGAGAAAAGUCAUCAUCAGUCUUCCUCAACUACAAACACCUCAGGCUACAAUAAAGACUGAUCUGACAA